rnacentral:rRNA from 1 species
CUAUCUACAGGCUUAACACAUGCAAGUCGAGGGGCAGCAUGGUCUUAGCUUGCUAAGGCCGAUGGCGACCGGCGCACGGGUGAGUAACGCGUAUCCAACCUGCCUUACACUCUUGGACAGCCUUCUGAAAGGGAGAUUAAUACAAGAUGUUAUCAUGAGUAAGCAUUUUCGCAUGAUUAAAGGUUUACCGGUGUAAGAUGGGGAUGCGUUCCAUUAGAUAGUAGGCGGGGUAACGGCCCACCUAGUCUUCGAUGGAUAGGGGUUCUGAGAGGAAGGUCCCCCACAUUGGAACUGAGACACGGUCCAAACUCCUACGGGAGGCAGCAGUGAGGAAUAUUGGUCAAUGGACGAGAGUCUGAACCAGCCAAGUAGCGUGAAGGAUGAAGGUUCUAUGGAUUGUAAACUUCUUUUAUACGGGAAUAAACGGAUCCACGUGUGGAUUUUUGCAUGUACCGUAUGAAUAAGGAUCGGCUAACUCCGUGCCAGCAGCCGCGGUAAUACGGAGGAUCCGAGCGUUAUCCGGAUUUAUUGGGUUUAAAGGGAGCGUAGAUGGGUUGUUAAGUCAGUUGUGAAAGUUUGCGGCUCAACCGUAAGAUUGCAAUUGAUACUGGCAGUCUUGAGUACAGUUGAGGUAGGCGGAAUUCGUGGUGUAGCGGUGAAAUGCUUAGAUAUCACGAAGAACUCCGAUUGCGAAGGCAGCUUACUAACCUGUAACUGACAUUGAUGCUCGAAAGUGUGGGUAUCAAACAGGAUUAGAUACCCUGGUAGUCCACACGGUAAACGAUGAAUACUCGCUGUAGGCGAUAUACAGUCUGCGGCCAAGCGAAAGCAUUAAGUAUUCCACCUGGGGAGUACGCCGGCAACGGUGAAACUCAAAGGAAUUGACGGGGGCCCGCACAAGCGGAGGAACAUGUGGUUUAAUUCGAUGAUACGCGAGGAACCUUACCCGGGCUUAAAUUGCAACCGAAUAUGGCGGAAACGCUAUAGCUAGCAAUAGCGGUUGUGAAGGUGCUGCAUGGUUGUCGUCAGCUCGUGCCGUGAGGUGUCGGCUUAAGUGCCAUAACGAGCGCAACCCUUGCCGAUAGUUACUAACAGGUUAUGCUGAGGACUCUGUCGGGACUGCCAUCGUAAGAUGUGAGGAAGGUGGGGAUGACGUCAAAUCAGCACGGCCCUUACGUCCGGGGCUACACACGUGUUACAAUGGGGGGUACAGAGGGCUGCUACCACGCAAGUGGAUGCCAAUCCCAAAAACCUCUCUCAGUUCGGAUUGAAGUCUGCAACCCGACUUCAUGAAGCUGGAUUCGCUAGUAAUCGCGCAUCAGCCACGGCGCGGUGAAUACGUUCCCGGGCCUUGUACACACCGCCCGUCAAGCCAUGGGAGCCGGGGGUACCUGAAGUGCGUAACCGCAAGGAGCGCCCUAGGGUAAAACUGGUGACUGGG